AGUGAACGCUGGCGGUAGGCUUAACACAUGCAAGUCGAACGAGUGGCGGACGGGUGAGGAAUACCUCGGAAUCUGCUCUAUCGAGGGGGAUAACGACGGGAAACGUACGCUAAUACCGCAUACGAUUGGAUGUGCCGAUGUCGGAUUAGCUAGUUGGCGGGGUAAAGGCUCACCAAGGCGACGAUCCGUAGCUGGUCUGAGAGGAUGACCAGCCACACUGGAACUGAGACACGGUCCAGACUCCUACGGGAGGCAGCAGUGGGGAAUAUUGGACAAUGGGCGCAAGCCUGAUCCAGCCAUGCCGCGUGGGUGAAGAAGGCCUUCGGGUUGUAAAGCCCUUUCGUUGAGAAGGCGUUACCCAAAGAAUAAGCACCGGCUAACUUCGUGCCAGCAGCCGCGGUAAUUC
rnacentral:rRNA from 1 species